AACGAACGCUGGCGGCAUGCCUAACACAUGCAAGUCGAACGAGACCUUCGGGUCUAGUGGCGCACGGGUGCGUAACGCGUGGGAACCUGCCCUUAGGUUCGGAAUAACUCCCCGAAAGGGGUGCUAAUACCGGAUAAUGUCUUCGGACCAAAGAUUUAUCGCCUUUGGAUGGGCCCGCGUUGGAUUAGCUAGUUGGUAGGGUAAAAGCCUACCAAGGCGACGAUCCAUAGCUGGUCUGAGAGGAUGAUCAGCCUCACUGGGACUGAGACACGACCCAGACUCCUACGGGAGGCAGCAGUGGGGAAUAUUGGACAAUGGGCGAAAGCCUGAUCCAGCAAUGCCGCGUGAGUGUUGAAGGCCUUAGGGUUGUAAAGCUCUUUUACCCGGGAUGAUAAUGACAGUACCGGGAGAAUAAGCCCCGGCUAACUCCGUG
rnacentral:rRNA from 1 species